GCUGUGUUCAGCUCACAGCAGCACUUUCGGACAGGCACAGUGAGAGACAGCCUGUAGGGUCUUUGAUAAGGCCCCUGGGCUGUCUCUCAGUGUGCUACAAGCUCUCUGCUGCGGCCGGCCAAGGGGGUAAGUAUUUAAUAACAGGGGCCCGCAGAGGGUCGUGCGGGCCCCUCAGUGCAGGCUGGCUGGGGAGCUUGUUGAGCUCCUCAGCUGAGCCAUUACAAUGCUACAGGCAGGCGGGCCCCCAAGAGCCUCGGGCCCUCGGUCCAUGACCGAUGUGCCCGAGUGCUCAGUCCGCCCCUGA